rnacentral:rRNA from 1 species
GACGAACGCUGGCGGCAUGCCUAACACAUGCAAGUCGAACGGAAGUAGCAAUACUUUAGUGGCGAACGGGUGAGUAACACGUGAGCAACCUGCCUCAGACUACGGGAUAACACAGAGAAAUUUGUGCUAAUACGGUAUAAGACCACGCUAUGGCAUCAUAGAGGGGUAAAAGAUUUUAUCGGUUUGAGAUGGGCUCGCGCCCAAUUAGCUAGUUGGUGAGGUAACGGCUCACCAAGGCAACGAUUGGUAGCCGACUUGAGAGAGUGAUCGGCCACAUUGGAACUGAGAUACGGUCCAGACUCCUACGGGAGGCAGCAGUGGGGAAUAUUGGGCAAUGGGGGCAACCCUUACCAAGCAAUGCCGCGUGAGUGAAGAAGGUCUUCGGAUUGUAAAGCUCUUUGAUUGGGGACGAAACAAAUGACGGUACCCAAGGAACAAGCCCCGGCUAACUAUGUGCCAGCAGCCGCGGUAAUACAUAGGGGGCAAGCGUUGUCCGGAAUGACUGGGCGUAAAGGGUGUGUAGGCGGUUGUGCAAGUUGGAAGUGUAAUACCCAGGGCUUAACUCGGGUGCUGCUUCCAAAACUGCGCGACUUGAGUAUCGGAGAGGAAAGUGGAAUUCCUAGUGUAGCGGUGGAAUGCAUAGAUAUUAGGAGGAACACCGGUGGCGAAAGCGACUUUCUGGACGAUCACUGACGCUGAGGCACGAAAGCGUGGGGAGCAAACAGG